AUCCAGCUGAAGAGUUCCAAAUAAGAAGAAACAGAUGUCUUGGAU
rfam:Schistosoma curassoni strain Dakar, Senegal genome assembly, scaffold: SCTD_scaffold0018998